UACGAAGGGGGCUAGCGUUGCUCGGAAUCACUGGGCGUAAAGGGUGCGUAGGCGGGUCUUUAAGUCAGGGGUGAAAUCCUGGAGCUCAACUCCAGAACUGCCUUUGAUACUGAGGAUCUUGAGUUCGGGAGAGGUGAGUGGAACUGCGAGUGUAGAGGUGAAAUUCGUAGAUAUUCGCAAGAACACCAGUGGCGAAGGCGGCCCCACUGGCC
rnacentral:rRNA from 1 species